rnacentral:lncRNA from 1 species
GCAAUCUUGUAUAGCACAGUCCUGCCUGUCUGCACCAUGGCCUGGGCUCCUCUCCUGCUCACACUUCUGGCUCACAUCACAGGGGUCGAAUCCCAGGCUGUGGUGACUCAGGAAUCUUCACUGUACAUCUCUCCUGGAGGGACAGU